GACGAACGCUGGCGGCGUGCUUAACACAUGCAAGUCGAACGGAGUGGCGAACGGGUGAGUAACACGUUGGUGACCUUCCCUGCACUUCGGGAUAAGCCUGGGAAACUGGGUCUAAUACCGGAUAGUGUGGGAUGGGCCCGCGGCCUAUCAGCUUGUUGGUGGUGUAAUGGCCUACCAAGGCGGCGACGGGUAGCCGGCCUGAGAGGGUACGGCCACAUUGGGGCUGAGGAACGGACCAGACUCCUACGGGGGGAAGCAGGGGGGAAUAUUGCACAAUGGGCGGAAGCCUGAUGAAGCGACGCCGCGUGUGGGAUGACGGCCUUCGGGUUGUAAACUCCUUUCACCAUCGACGCGGGAGAUGGAGAAGAAGCACCGGCUAACUACGUGCCAGCCGCCGCGGUAAUAC
rnacentral:rRNA from 1 species